rnacentral:rRNA from 1 species
GGAUUAGAUACCCUGGUAGUCCUAGCAGUAAACGAUGUGCGCUUGGUGUGGGAAGGUUCGACCCUUUCCGUGCCGGAGCUAACGCGUUAAGCGCACCGCCUGGGGAGUACGGCCGCAAGGCUAAAACUCAAAGAAAUUGACGGGGACCCGCACAAGCGGUGGAGUAUGUGGCUUAAUUCGAUGCAACGCGAAGAACCUUACCUAGGCUUGACAUGUAUUGCUAAUCUACAGAGAUGUAGUGACUCUUCGGAGACCUUACACAGGUGCUGCAUGGCCGUCGUCAGCUCGUGCCG